rnacentral:rRNA from 1 species
UACGUAGGGUGCAAGCGUUAAUCGGAAUUACUGGGCGUAAAGCGUGCGCAGGCGGUUGUGCAAGACAGAUGUGAAAUCCCCGGGCUCAACCUGGGAACUGCAUUUGUGACUGCACGGCUAGAGUGUGUCAGAGGGGGGGUAGAAUUCCACGUGUAGCAGUGAAAUGCGUAGAGAUGUGGAGGAAUACCAAUGGCGAAGGCAGCCCCCUGGGAUAGCACUGACGCUCAUGCACGAAAGCGUGGGGAGCGAACAGG